ACGUGUCCAUUUGUUGUUGGCCAAGAGAAUAAUACAAAAGGGAAUAAAAAAAUUUCUCUCUUUCUCUCCCGAUCAAUUUCUCUCUUUCUCUCCCGAUCAAAGUCUCGAUCCGAGAAAGGAAAAUCUGCUUUAAUCGGAGGUUAUAGAAUCAGUGAAGUCCAUGGUUGGAGUCGAUUAGAAUCGGCAGAGAUCUUAUCGGAGGCCACUGUAGCGGUGGCGAUUUGAAUCGUCGUGGAGAUUGUAGCGGUGGCGAUUUGAAGGAGUAGGUGAUUCAAUCGGAAGAGAUUGGAUCAAUCUCCGCUAACCCUCUCCACUCCCCUCCCUCCAUCGUCCCUCGUCGUCCCGUCGAUCCUUCCUCCGCUGCCGCUCUCUGCCGUUCUUCUCUCGUCUGGUUCCGCAACGACCUCCGCGUCCACGACAACGAGGCUCUCAGCUCCGCUAAUGACGAGUGCGUCUCCGUUUUGCCCGUUUAAUGCUUCGACCCUAGAGAUUACGGGAAAGAUUCAACAAGACGGGGCCUUUCCGCCCAGUUUCUGAUUGAGUCGGUCUCAGAGCUCCGGAAGAGUCUCCAAAAGUCCAGGUUCGAAAUUUAGCCAAUUGGUUCCAGUUCUAUAAGUGAAGAGCUACCCUUAGAGACAUACUCAUAUGGAUAAAUACUAGGUAUAAAGUGUUAACAGUUUUAACUCCGUUUGAAGGUCCAUGAAUUCUUUAUAGGAUCAAUCAACGUUUCUCCUUCGGUCCAAUAUGUGUUUGCUGCUCACUUCCACCUUUUCCUGCUGCUAUAAACUUUGUAGAGAGAUUAUCUGAUGUUGCUCUGCUCUCUCCUCUUAACUGGCCCAUGACUCCAACACCUUCCUCUCAUGGUCUUAAAUUGUCCAGAAACAGCUCUAAAUCUUCAAAGGUUUGAUUUUUACGAAACCCACUUUCUCAAUCUUGUUUCCACUUCCUUGUGCGUUUCUUUUUUGUUUAGUGAUAUUGAGUUGACUUUUGGAUAUGACGAGUUUGUCUUCUUCUUGUUACUAGUUAUAGUGUUGGUUCUUGUUAUUGUUAGGGAAAUUUAUAAAAAUAGGCAUUUUUUUAGAGAGAGAUUCGAUUAUAGGCAUUACAACAGUGAAAGGCAUUAUAUUACACACGAACAUUACUGUGACUGACAUUUUUGCCCUUAUGUUUUUUUGAGCGUAAUUGUCAUGACGUCAGAGGGGAGAAAGAGAGUUCUUUCUAAACUGAAAAUAUCAGUCAUCAACUUUGCUUUGUUUCAAAAUCUACAAUACAAAAGAUUCUUUCAGAACAAGAUCGGAGGUGGUUUCACGUGAAGAAGAGGUUGCUGGUGAGGACGGUGGUGGUUUCAGGCGAAGAAGGGGUUGUUGGUAGGGAACUAGGGAUGCAUCUAAUCUAACCGUCACGGAGAAAAACACCACCGGUGAUUGAAGUUGGGUUACGGCGAUAGGCUGAUUGGAAUCAACGAAUCAUAAGAGAAACAAGAUUGUUCAUUGUUUACACAUGUAUCUGUCUUUUUUAGCAUCAAAUCUACUUUUUCUGACAAUAGAGGGUCGCAAUAUUACUUUUGGUUCAU